rnacentral:lncRNA from 1 species
UUCAUUAUUUUGAUUAUGAUGCAUGAAACAUAGUAAUGUGAUAGGAGUCUGAAACUUCCUCUUCACACGAAUUUGAGUUGACAUGUGGGGUGGGUAUCUGGUGGCCUCGAGGGAACCAAAAAUAUCUCAGUUCUAUGUGUUUGGUUGUUAGAUCAAAAGAGGCCCUAAAAUUCGUAAUACUUGUUGUCUUACAACGGGGCAUACCUAUGGUUCUGUAUCUCUCUCUCUUAUAUGUUGAUUAACUUGCAUAUUCUUUGAAUUCUCCUCAAAAUUACUGUGAAUUUUUAUGGAUACCGUAGGAUGGUCCUGUCCCUAAAUCAAGUUAAUGAUGAACUUUCUUGAUAGGGUAUAGUGUCUUUAGAGGGACUACCUAGUCCAUUGGUCAGACCAAGGACAUUAAGCAUCG